rnacentral:rRNA from 1 species
UACGUAAGGGGCGAGCGUUAUUCGGAUUAACUGGGUGUAAAGGGUCCGCAGGCGGCUUGGUAAGUCGGCGAGUGAAAUCCCGUGGCUCAACCACGGAAUUGCUUUCGAUACUACCUAGCUUGAGUGCGGGAGAGGUAAGCGGAAUUCCUGGUGUAGCGGUGAAAUGCGUAGAUAUCAGGAGGAACACCGAUGGCGAAGGCAGCUUACUGGCUCGCAACUGACGCUCAUGGACGAAGGUGUGGGGAGCAAACAGG